rnacentral:rRNA from 1 species
UAUGUGAUCGUCUCUCGCAUAUCAAUAAGCGGAGGAAAAGAAACUAACAAGGAUUCCCCUAGUAACGGCGAGUGAAGCGGGAAGAGCUCAAAUUUGAAAUCUUAAAGGGUCUCCCUUUACGAAUUGUAGUUUAAAGAAGUGUUUUCUGUUGAGGUUUUGGUAAAAGUUCUUUGGAAUAGGACAUCAUAGAGGGUGAGAAUCCCGUAUUUGACCUUUACUUUCAACUUUGUGAUACACUUUCAAAGAGUCGGAUUGUUUGGGAAUGCAGUCCAAAAUGGGUGGUAAAUUUCAUCUAAAGCUAAAUAUUGGCGAGAGACCGAUAGCGAACAAGUACCGUGAGGGAAAGAUGAAAAGAACUUUGAAAAGAGAGUUAAACAGUACGUGAAAUUGUCAAAAGGGAAGCGUUUGACACCAGUGUUGUUUUUCUGAAAAUCAAUUAAAGAACUGUUUAUGCUAAGUUGUUUAGACUUUAUCAGCUAACUGUUUAGUUUUGAGCUUUUCUUUAAUGCACUUUUCAGUUAACAAGUCAACAUCAAUUUCUUUUGCUGUAAAAAAGCUUGAGGAAGGUGGCUUGAGAUUCGUCUUAAGUGUUUAUAGCCUCUUGUCUAUGCAGUCGGAGAGAUUGAGGUCUGCAGCGUAGAUCCUUCGGGGCUAAAUGCAUUUGUGCUAGCUAUAGCAUUUUAUAGACAACUUGUUGACUAUGAUUUGUCUUGUAGCUUACUCGCUUAUGUUAUUUUACCUACGCUUAGGAUGUUGACUGAUAUGUAGUCGU